rnacentral:rRNA from 1 species
GAGUUUGAUCAUGGCUCAGGAUGAACGCUGGCGGCGUGCCUAAUACAUGCAAGUCGAACGAACAGAUAAGGAGCUUGCUCCUUUGACGUUAGCGGCGGACGGGUGAGUAACACGUGGGUAACCUACCUAUAAGACUGGAAUAACUCCGGGAAACCGGGGCUAAUGCCGGAUAACAUGUUGAACCGCAUGGUUCUACAGUGAAAGACGGUCUUGCUGUCACUUAUAGAUGGACCCGCGCCGUAUUAGCUAGUUGGUGGGUAACGGCCUACCAAGGCGACGAUACGUAGCCGACCUGAGAGGGUGAUCGGCCACACUGGAACUGAGACACGGUCCAGACUCCUACGGGAGGCAGCAGUAGGGAAUCUUCCGCAAUGGGCGAAAGCCUGACGGAGCAACGCCGCGUGAGUGAUGAAGGUCUUCGGAUCGUAAAACUCUGUUGUUAGGGAAGAACAAAUGUGUAAGUAACUGUGCAUAUCUUGACGGUACCUAACCAGAAAGCCACGGCUAACUACGUG